rnacentral:rRNA from 1 species
UUAAGGGCGUACGGUGGAUGCCUUGACUUUAAGAGGCGAUGAAGGACGUGGCGUUGCUGCGAUAAGCUUCGGGGAGACGCAAAGCAGUCUUUGAUCCGGAGAUUUCCGAAUGGGGAAACCCUGUAGAGUAAACCUCUACAACCUUGAGCUUUAUGUUCAAGGAGCAUACCCUGGGAAGUGAAACAUCUCAGUACCAGGAGGAGUAGAGAACAAUAGUUAUUUCCUAAGUAGCGGCGAGCGAAAAGGAAGAAGCCCAAACUCGAGUAGCAAUACUCGGGGGUUGUAAGGUAACAAUUUUUAUUUAUUUAAAGAAGAGUCAAAAAAUAAAUUAUUAGCUUAAGUUCUUGGAAAAGGGCACCAUAGAGGGUGAUAGUCCCGUCUGCGAAAAUAAUUUAUCUCUCGAUAGUGAACUAGUACCGUGAGGGAAAGGUGAAAAGCAGCCCGAUUAGGGCGGUGAAAUAGACCUGAAACCGUAUGUCUACAAGGAGUCGAACUCCGUCUUCGGAUGGAGAACGGCGUGCCUAUUGAAGAAUGAGCCAACGAGUUUAUGCAUACUGCUAGGUUAAGUUGACUAAAACAACAAAGCCGAAGGGAAACCGAGUGUUAAUAGCGCGACUGUAUAUUUAUUUAUACGGGUAGAAUGCAUAAGACCCGAAGCCAGGUGAGCUUGCCAUGAGCAGGAUGAAGUAGGUCGAAAGACUUAUGGAGGUCCGAACGGGUAGAUCGUACAACGUCUUCCGAUGACUUGUGGUAAGGAGUGAAAAGCUAAUCGAACCUGGUAAUAGCUGGUUCUCUCCGAAAUAGCUUUAGGGCUAGCGUCGUGUGUUUCUUUUGGGGG